CCGAAAGACCAAGGGUUCCAGUCCAACGUUAAUCGGGGCUGGGUGAGUCGACCCCUAAGGCGAGGCCGAAAGGCGUAGUCGAUGGGAAAAUGGUUAAUAUUCCAUUACUUCUGUGUAAUGCGAUGAGAGGACGGAGAAGGCUAAAUCAGCCUGGCGUUGGUUGUCCAGGUGAAAGGAUGUAGGCAUGUAUCUUAGGCAAAUCCGGGGUACUCUAUGCUGAGAUCUGAUAGCAAGCUGUACUUGUACAGCGAAGUGGUUGAUGCCAUGCU
rnacentral:rRNA from 1 species